rnacentral:pre_miRNA from 1 species
UUAUCUCAAAUUUGUAUUGAGUUGGAACGUUUGCCGCUAGGGACGCUGUUCCAACUGCAUACAAAUUUGAGUUA